rnacentral:tRNA from 1 species
AAUAUUACGCUGGUCUUGUAAACCAGUAAUGNAAAAAACCCAUUUUCUCAGGACA